rnacentral:rRNA from 1 species
CUACGGGACGCAGCAGUGGGGAAUAUUGCACAAUGGGCGCAAGCCUGAUGCAGCCAUGCCGCGUGUAUGAAGAAGGCCUUCGGGUUGUAAAGUACUUUCAGUAAGGAGGAAGGCAGUUACGUUAAUAGCGUAAUUGUUUGACGUUACUUACAGAAGAAGCACCGGCUAACUCCGUGCCAGCAGCCGCGGUAAUACGGAGGGUGCGAGCGUUAAUCGGAAUUACUGGGCGUAAAGCGCAUGCAGGUGGUCUGUUAAGUCAGAUGUGAAAGCCCCGGGCUCAACCCGGGAUGGUCAUUUGAAACUGGCAGGCUAGAGUACUGUAGAGGGGGGUAGAAUUUCAGGUGUAGCGGUGAGAUGCGUAGAGAUCUGAAGGAAUACCGGUGGCGAAGGCGGCCCCCUGGACAGAUACUGACACUCAGAUGCGAAAGCGUGGGGGGCAAACAGGAUUAGAUACCCGCGUAGUC